GACGAACGCUGGCGGCGUGCUUAACACAUGCAAGUCGAACGGAGUUUAAGAGGAAGCUUGCGAAUCUUAAACUUAGUGGCGGACGGGUGAGUAACGCGUGGAUAACCUACCUUAAGGACUGGGAUAACACCGGGAAACUGGUGCUAAUACCGGAUAAGCUCAAUGGGGCACAUGCCUUGAUGAGGAAAGGAGCAAUCCGCUUUAAGAUGGAUCCGCGUCCCAUUAGCUAGUUGGCGGUGUAACGGACCACCAAGGCAACGAUGGGUAGCCGGCCUGAGAGGGUGGACGGCCACACUGGAACUGAGACACGGUCCAGACUCCUACGGGAGGCAGCAGUGGGGAAUCUUCCGCAAUGGGCGAAAGCCUGACGGAGCAACGCCGCGUGAAUGAUGAAGGCCUCGGGUUGUAAAGUUACUGUCUUCAGGAAGAAAAAAUAGACGGUACCUGAGGAGGAAGCCCGGCGUAACUAACGUGCCAGCAGCCGCGGUAAACGUAAGCGUGG
rnacentral:rRNA from 1 species